UAUGAGUAGACUGGAGGGACAUAUAGA
rnacentral:piRNA from 1 species